rnacentral:rRNA from 1 species
UACGAAGGGGGCUAGCGUUGCUCGGAAUCACUGGGCGUAAAGCGCACGUAGGCGGGUCCUUAAGUCAGGGGUGAAAUCCCGGAGCUCAACUCCGGAACUGCCUUUGAUACUGGGGAUCUUGGAGUCCGGAAGAGGUGAGUGGAACUCCGAGUGUAGAGGUGAAAAUUCGUAGAUAUUCGGAAAGAACACCAGUGGCGGAAGGCGGCUCACUGGUCCGGUACUGACGCUGAGGCGGCGAAAAGCGUGGGGAGCAAACAGGG